UACGAAUUCGUCCACUCCGAGAAACUAGAGGGAACUGAAAACAAAAUUUACAAAUCACAAUGGUGCAACAAAUUCUUGGUCACAAAGGUAAACAUCUUUCAAACACCAUAUACAUAGACAACAUGAUAGAUUAAAUAUUACCUUGUGAAGUGCAAAGCUUGAUGCUCCUAUUUCAAUGGUAACAUCACUAGAAACAUCAGAAAUAGGCCUGCAAGAUUGAAAAAACUAGGUCAAAGCAUAUUGCAUAGAGACUAAAGCUAUAAAACGAAACAAGAACAAAAACAAAAAAUUUAAACGACAGAUAAAUGAAAUUCUACAUGCUUGUUAGUGCCAAAAAUUUAGAUAUCAUGACGUUUUGUUUGGCAUAGUCCUGCAAUCCCAUGCUUGAACUCAUUAAUUUCCCCACUGCUUCAGUCAAUAUGUAAAUUCCAUUGAACAUCUCAAUCAAUAGAAAAAAAAAACUAUAUUUGGUUCCAUGGUUGGACAAGGAGGACCCAUGUGGGAAAACUAACAACUCAAUAAUUAUAGCAUGAGUGGUGGUAAAAAUUUUCAAAAAAAAAACAAGCAUUGAAGAACUGGUUUUAGUUGUGGAAGUGGAAAACAAGUAAACUAUUUCACUUUCUUUCAUGGAUAUGAAUUGCUAGGAACCAAAUGGGACCCUUAGUUUGUGUUGGAUAGAUGUGUGUGUUUUUUGUUGUUUUAUGGGAGAAUAUAUCAAUAGGGCAGCUUAUGAGAAUUUUAUAAGAACACAUCCUCAAAUCCGACAAUCUAGCCUCGUGGUACCAUUACUUGGUAUGGAAGAAUUCUGAGGCCAAGAUCUUAAGCUCAAAGGGGUUAAUCUGUCACAGUCAAACAUGUCAGUAUUCCAGGGCUUAUCAACAACUAGUGCUGUCUAAUUUUAAUUUACUUGAGGGACCUUAUAUGAACAUGAUAAUUGACUGAAAUCAAACUUUUAAGAAAAGAAAAAGCUGAAAUUCAUGUACUUCUGAUAACAGUUAGUUCUUUCAGAUUAUUGGAAAAAAAAAAUUAUUAUAGAAAGAAAAAGAUUGCACUCUUUGCAUAAAAUUAUGAACCUAGGAAAUAAUACAAAGCAAGAUAUAUCUUCUGUUGAUCUGUUCUUGUCAGAUAUGAAGAAUGAAGUUGGAAAACAUCAUUUUCACAAUUAAAUGAAAAAUCUGAAACUGUCUGACAAGUAAAACUCAAUGGUCUAAACUCAAUUAAACAGUAAGAUUUUUUCAAAGUUUAAUAUAUUAAAUGCAAAAACAACCCACCAACUUAAAUUCUAGUGAAAAUCACUCUGCAACAAAAUAAGAACAAGAAGGUUACCAUUCGGUGGCAGCAUGCCUUAUAGUUGAACUUGGACGAAAAGAUCUCUUCCCAGAUAUACUUGUUUUAAGUUCACCAACUGUAACAACACCCAUCUUCACAAAAACCUGGAAAAAGCUCAGAUUUUUAGCCUUAAGAAAGUUGUAAUCUUUGGCAAAAUAUCUCUUUUUUGUCAGUUCAAUACUUCAUGGUUUGUGCUGCUGACAGGUGGUUUAAAGAUUGUAUUAUGAAAGAGGAAGGGGUGGAUUAUGGAGUGAGGUAAAAGUCACAUGAAUUCAUGCAGGAUUAAAGGGUGGUAAUGGCUUUUAAAAUAUACUUUUUUUAAUGAGUGUUAAUGUAGAGAAUAUGCCUAAUCUAAAGUUUUAACUAUGAACUUUUCGGUGAAAGCCAGUGAGAAGGUGGCCUUUUUCUUUUACAUGGUGUUUUUGUUUAUGAAGAAGAAAGAAAAAAAAAUAUUGCAGGAAUCCUGAAGGGUUGCAGUGCUUUUUGGGGAUAUAAUCAUGGCUAUUGAAAGCUACCUAUAUAAAAGAUUAAGCUUAAUUAACUCUUUAUAUUAUGUGUAAAGUCUUAGUAAAGUAAGGGUAUUAAGAAGAUGAGUUGGAUUACAUGAUAUAAUUAGUACCACACUCCUUUGCCCAUAUUACAUCACCCAAAAACUACUUUUUAAGUUCUGCAGGAUAUAUAUAUAUAAGUAUUAUAUAUAUAGCCUAUUUUAAGUCCUAGCUAGAAGCCAAGGCCUUCAACUAUAGGCAUUUUCUUUGCCACAAUCACCAUGACAUUACCUUAACAUGCUACAGUUUCUUCAGAUGACAUUCUUUCUCCCUUUACACAAACUUUAGUGAAACAUUUAUAGUUUUGCUCCAUUGAUUUUGGAAAACAUUUGAAUAGCACUGUUUUCGAUAUUAAAUACGAAACCUUACUCAAGAAACUUUUGGUUGAUAGGUUAGUAGUCUUAUCCGUCACAUAAGAGUGAAAAUAUAAAUUCGAACUUCGAGAGAAAGAAUUUUACUUUUAAGUACUCUCGAAACCAACAAACCAUACACGAUAUGUACUACAAAAAUAUCAUGGUGUUGGUUUUAUUGUGUCAAGCUCCACUUUACAGAAUCAAACAAAUAUACCCAAAAUUUUAUUGGGCAAAUUGAGUGUAUAUACGUACUCUGUUGGCUUAAUUAUGACCUAAGAUUGCAUGGAUCAAGUGAUAAUAAUGACCCCAUCAAUUCAUGCUUUUUUUUGUGUGUGUGUGUGUGGCUUGAGUAAGUGGUAUGCAGUAUUUAAUUAGCCUCAAAGUUUGCUGAUCAAAUGCUUUUAUUUUUCUUUCUUGGUUAAGCUUUGGAGGCAAAAAAAUUAAGGUAAAUGAACAUAAUUUGCGGUUAAUUGUUUAUAUUAUCUCUUAGGUAGGUACAUCAUGAAGAUGUUAUAGGUCUCUUGUGACAAAGACAUCUUCGUUUUCAUUUUUAUUUUUAUUUUAUUCCAUUUCUUUUUAGCUAAACCUUUAUAUUUUUAGAAGUUUUGAGUCCAUGAGCAACCACACCUUAACAACUUGGUUUUGAAUUUUUUAGAACACAUUAUCAGAUAUAUUAUUGAAGGUGGCAUAAAUUUAAUAUACCAAAUAUUGGUGUAGCCACUCACAGUUAUCAUUGUAUAUAUAGAUAUCAUCCUUUAAAUAUUAUUACCAAACAUAUAUAUGUAUAUGGUUGAUCUUCAGUUUUACAUCAGAAAUCCCAGUUGCAGAUCACUAAAAAAAAACUGAUAUAUACAAAGUAAAAAGUAUAAAGAAUGGUGAGGAUCUUGCUUCCCUUUAAUCUGUAUCAGCCAAGAAAAUGGGAGUAUAGCCCAGUGCCAGACAUAGAUACUAAAAGCCAAAAGGGAAUUUCCUUUUCUCAUAUAUAUAUUUUUUUACAGGUGAAAGCAGUUUUGAAUCAUUAGUGCAGCAAGGUGAUGAACAAAGCAAAGUUGGUGGCUACAAUUAUAGUUACAGAAAACAUGUGAGCCCACACUCUUUUGAAACCCUUCUCCCUUCCUUCCCCAUAAUAGCCAUAUACUUUACUGAUUAGCCCCCCUAUUAUCAAAUUAAGGGUGGUCGAUGAUACUUGAUCGUGUGGGUGGGCGUGUAUAUAUUUUCCUUAAUUAUGAUCCUACUAUUAAUCAUUUUGUUAACCUGUUUUGCACUUACUGGUCUUUGCCAUGUUAGAAUCAAUGGGUUAUUUUCAAAUCAUUGAACUAUGGAGUGUUCCAAGUGUCUUCUUGCACGUGGGUUUGUUCAGCUAGGUUUUCUUCAUAUCCAAGCCUGCUGAGGAAAUUAUUUUCGUCAUGUAUAAGUUUUGUAAAAGCUAUUCCUUUUAAAAACCAGCAGUAAUGAUGGUUAUAAGGGAAACUAUACAGUUACUUUCAUGGUUAAAUUGGUCAACAAGGAAAACACGGGUGUUUCUUUAUAGCUUUUUUUUACAAGAAGAAAAGAAAACCCGUUACUUUAAAAGUGAAUUGUUGCGCAUGCUCAACUUCAGUAAGUGAUUUGAUGAAAUAAGGUUAGAGUUAUUCAAAGAAUGAAUGUAUGCGUGUGCCCC
rnacentral:lncRNA from 1 species